GAUGAACGCUAGCAGCAGGCCUAAUACAUGCAAGUCGAACGAGAUUAAGAGGCUUGCUUCUUAUGAAAGUGGCGCACGGGUGCGUAACGCGUAUGCAACCUACCUUAAUCAGGGGGAUAGCCCGAAGAAAUUCGGAUUAAGACCGCAUAAAAACACAGGAUAGCAUUAUCCAAUGUUCAAAUAUUUAUAGGAUUAAGAUGGGCAUGCGUGUCAUUAGCUAGUUGGCGGGGUAACGGCCCACCAAGGCGACGAUGACUAGGGGAUCUGAGAGGAUGACCCCCCACACUGGUACUGAGACACGGACCAGACUCCUACGGGAGGCAGCAGUAAGGAAUAUUGGUCAAUGGAGGGAACUCUGAACCAGCCAUGCCGCGUGCAGGAAGACAGCCCUCUGGGUCGUAAACUGCUUUUAUUCGGGAAUAAACCUUUCUACGUGUAGGAAGCUGAAUGUACCGAAGGAAUAAGGAGCGGCUAACUCCGU
rnacentral:rRNA from 1 species